GUGCUCGCUUAAGCAGCACAUAUACUAAAAUUGGAGUGAUACAGGGAUUUGCAUGGCCCUUGCGCAAGGAUGACACGCAAAUUUGUGAAGCGUUCCAUAUUAAA